rnacentral:sRNA from 1 species
CUGACCAAGGCAGGAGCAGCUGAUGCCCCCCUCCAUCUAAGAUCAACACAGAAAUCUCCUCAGUACCAGGCUGAAUUCCCCAUGAGUCCUGUGACCUCAGCCCACGCAGGGACCUACAGUUGCUACGGCUCAUGGAGCUCCAACCCCUACCUGCUGACUCACCCCAGUGAGCCCCUGGAGCUUGUGGUCUCAGGACUCUCUGGGGGCCCCAGCUCCCCCACAACAGGCCCCACCUCCACAUCUGCAGGCCCUGAGGACCAGCCCCUCACCCCCACCAGGUCGGAUCCCCAGAGUGGUGAGUGGGAGGUGGGCGGGGUCCAGGGGAGGCAGGGGUGGGUUCUGUCCUAGGUUCAGGCUCCUCUGGAGGUAGCGAUGUGGACAGGCCCCUCCCCUGCCUGGGCCUCAGUUUCUCCAAGUGUAAAGGCGAGAGGCCUGCGGGUGGG